rnacentral:rRNA from 1 species
UACGAGGGGGGCAAAUGUUGUUCGGAAUCACUGGGCGUAAAGGGAGCGUAGGCGGGUUUCUAAGUCAGGUGUUUAAUCCCGGGGCCCAACCCCGGACAGGCACUUGAAACUGGGAAUCUUGAAUAGUGGAGAGGUCAGUGGAAUUGGGGGUGUAGCGGUGGAAUGCGUAGAGAUCCCCAAGAACACCCGUGGCGAAGGCGGCCUGCUGGGCCGGACCUGACGCUGAGGCGCGAAGGCGUGGGGAGCGAACGGG